CCUACGGGUGGCUGCAGUAGGGAAUAUUGGGCAAUGGUCGCAAGACUGACCCAGCCAUGCCGCGUGCAGGAAGACGGCCCUAUGGGUUGUAAACUGCUUUUAUCAGGGAAGAAACCCUUCUAUGCGUAGGAGGCUGACGGUACCUGAGGAAUAAGGAUCGGCUAACUCCGUGCCAGCAGCCGCGGUAAUACGGAGGAUCCGAGCGUUGUCCGGAUUUAUUGGGUUUAAAGGGUGCGUAGGCGGACUAAUAAGUCAGGGGUGAAAGCCGGUAGCUU
rnacentral:rRNA from 1 species